CCUUCGGGAUUAGUGGCAGACGGGUGAGUAACGCGUGGGAAGCUACCUUGUGGUAGGGGACAACAGUUGGAAACGACUGCUAAUACCCUAUGAGCCCUAUGGGGGAAAGAUUUAUCGCCAUGAGAUGUGCCCGCGUUAGAUUAGCUAGUUGGUAAGGUAAUGGCUUACCAAGGCGACGAUCUAUAGCUGGUCUGAGAGGAUGAUCAGCCACACUGGGACUGAGACACGGCCCAGACUCCUACGGGAGGCAGCAGUGGGGAAUAUUGGACAAUGGGGGCAACCCUGAUCCAGCCAUGCCGCGUGUGUGAUGACGGCCUUAGGGUUGUAAAGCACUUUCAGCAGUGAAGAUAAUGACAUUAACUGCAGAAGAAGCCCCGGCUAACUUCGUGCCAGCAGCCGCGGUAAUACGAAGGGGGCUAGCGUUGUUCGGAAUCACUGGGCGUAAAGAGUACGUAGGCGGACUGAUAAGUUAGGGGUGAAAUCCCAAGGCUCAACCUUGGAACUGCCUUUGAUACUGUCAGUCUUGAGAUCGAGAGAGGUGAGUGGAACUCCGAGUGUAGAGGUGAAAUUCGUAGAUAUUCGGAAGAACACCAGUGGCGAAGGCGGCUCACUGGCUCGAUACUGACGCUGAGGUACG
rnacentral:rRNA from 1 species